CAAAGCCGACCGCCCCAUCGUAACUUUGCUAACUUAGUCCGCUCCGGCCCAGCCGGCCCCCGAAGCACAGUGACGGUGAAAACGUGUUGACACUGGAAAAUCAUUUCCACGACAGCCUAAGUGUUGGAAAGCACAAAGGCGAUCCCUGUCGGCCAGCGAUCGCUAGGAAGUUGCUGUAUGCGGGACGCCUGUGCCAGGCCGGCGUCCAGGUAAGGAGUCCCCGCACUACAGCUUCGCCCUCCCCUUCUUGGACAUUCAGGGGCUCCACCUCACUUUGGAAGCGAUUCACCACAACGCGUCACCCGCCCCGUUCUUUUUUCCAGGAGUUUUUUUGAGACAGGAUCUCUUACUGAAGCUCACUGAUCCAGCUAGACGGGCUGACCGGCAUGCCCCAAGAAUGUCCCUAUCUCCACCUCGCCUCCUCGGCUCUGGGAUCGCACAGCUGCUUCUGCAUGGCAUUUGACCACAGUAACAGAAAAAGAAACCAAUGCACAGCAUUUCAGAGUUUGGGAAUUAUGGAUGCUCAACCUGUCUGUUAAAGCCGUGAUCUAUUGAGACCAUUAAUUAAAAAACAGAAACACCUCUCCCCGCCCCCCCCCCAAUCUCAAACCCACAUGUCCUGUGGAGAACAAUGCACUGCUGUCCUGGAAUGUUUGAGCUGGAAGCUCCUUUGCAGACUAGUAUGUCACCAUCAUUUCAGCAAUGAAGGAAUUACAAAGCCCCUUAAAAAAAAAAAGAAAGAAAGAAAGAAAGAAAGAAAAGAAAAGACAAUCCAGUUUUGAAAAUAGGAAGACAUGAACUUUGGGACUGAUUUCCAGUUUCUAAGGUGUCCCAUCAAUCGUCACAUCACCUGUGUUCCCCCUCCAGGUUUAUGGGUAUUUCCUUUCCUAACCUUUAGAACUCAUCAUGUUCCGAUUGUACCGGGUAAUCUGUUAGGGUAUCCAUUUUCAAGUUAUGCAGAGGCUGUUUUAAAAGAAACCUUUUUAAUAAGAUAAGCAUUUCAUUAGAUGCACACGCUUUCCCAUUUCAGCGCCUCACAGGAACAGGCCAGCAUCCAGGCUACUUCCAUUUGCCCAUAAUUCGGCUCAUGGACAGCUCAUCCGGUUCAGAACCACUUAGCUUUGCUUGGCUGUUCCACUGAAGCUAGGCUGUUCAUGAGAAACCCCGCAAUACAAUUGUGGCCCCUCGGGGGACCAUAUACAUUUAUGUAAGUUAUCUCCGCCUGCGCCCUGUGGUGUCAGAACCUCUCAGAUUUGCUAACCAUAAAAAAUCUGCCUUAAGCAUAUUACUAACUUUAAAACCCUAAUGAUAUGGAUGUCAUAUUUCAAUUUUUAAAAAACCUCUUCAUACUCCACCCCUGGAAGAAAAAAAAAAACCCUGUAAAACUUAUCCAAUGGAAUCAUGCUUAGGUUAAAAACACAAUUUAUUUAAAAGAAUGGCAAUGCACUCUAGUUUAAAACACACACACACACACACACACACACACACACACACACACACCACACACAGGUGUGCUGAUGUACACACAAACUGUUUGGUCAAAAUGUAAUAAUUAAAUAAGAAAUAAACGGACUACUCCCAAGCUGAAGUAAGAACUUUAAUAAAAAUAAUAAAAAUCGCUAAUGGAAGCAAGGAUCUAUGUAGUUUCUUUAAAGUGAAGAGAAAAAAAAAAACAUUUCUAUGGGGCUAAUGAGUCUAAGCCUGAUUAGUUAAACUGAUCAUGGGGCAGCAGGUCCAUGGGACUUUUUAAAUGGUUCUAGCACAA